UGGAUCCAGACUUUGAUUAUGGCUCAGGAUGAACGCUAGCUACAGGCUUAACACAUGCAAGUCGAGGGGCAGCAUGACGAUAGCUUGCUAUCGUUGAUGGCGACCGGCGCACGGGUGAGUAACGCGUAUCCAACCUGCCCUUGUCCAUCGGAUAACCCGUCGAAAGGCGGCCUAACACGAUAUGCAGUUCUCAGCAGGCAUCUAACGAGAACGAAAUGUGAAGGAGAAGGAUGGGGAUGCGUCUGAUUAGCUUGUUGGCGGGGUAACGGCCCACCAAGGCGACGAUCAGUAGGGGUUCUGAGAGGAAGGUCCCCCACAUUGGAACUGAGACACGGUCCAAACUCCUACGGGAGGCAGCAGUGAGGAAUAUUGGUCAAUGGGCGAGAGCCUGAACCAGCCAAGUAGCGUGCAGGACGACGGCCCUAUGGGUUGUAAACUGCUUUUAUGCGGGGAUAAAGUGAGCCACGUGUGGCUUAUUGCAGGUACCGCAUGAAUAAGGACCGGCUAAUUCCGUGCCAGCAGCCGCGGUAAUACGGAAGGUCCGGGCGUUAUCCGGAUUUAUUGGGUUUAAAGGGAGCGUAGGCCGUCUGGUAAGCGUGUUGUGAAAUGUCGGGGCUCAACCUGGGCAUUGCAGCGCGAACUGUCAGACUUGAGUGCGCGGGAAGUAGGCGGAAUUCGUCGUGUAGCGGUGAAAUGCUUAGAUAUGACGAAGAACACCGAUUGCGAAGGCAGCCUGCUGUAGCGCAACUGACGCUGAAGCUCGAAAGCGUGGGUAUCGAACAGGAUUAGAUACCCUGGUAGUCCACGCGGUAAACGAUGGAUGCUCGCUGUUUGCGUCUGACGUAAGCGGCCAAGCGAAAGCGUUAAGCAUCCCACCUGGGGAGUACGCCGGCAACGGUGCAACUCAAAUGAAUUGACGGA
rnacentral:rRNA from 2 species